UACGUAGGGUGCAAGCGUUGUCCGGAAUUAUUGGGCGUAAAGAGCUCGUAGGCGGUUUGUUGCGUCGGCUGUGAAAUCCCGAGGCUCAACCUCGGGUCUGCAGUCGAUACGAGCAAACUAGAGUGUUGCAGGGGAGACUGGAAUUCCUGGUGUAGCGGUGAAAUGCGCAGAUAUCAGGAGGAACACCGGUGGCCGAAGGCGGG
rnacentral:rRNA from 1 species